AUUGAACGCUGGCGGCAGGCUUAACACAUGCAAGUCGAACGAGUGGCGGACGGGUGAGUAAUGCUUGGGAAUCUGGCUUUUGGAGGGGGAUAACUACUGGAAACUGUGGCUAAUACCGCGUACCAUAGGAUGAGCCCAAGUGGGAUUAGGUAGUUGGUGGGGUAAAGGCUCACCAAGCCGACGAUCUCUAGCUGGUCUGAGAGGAUGACCGGCCACACUGGGACUGAGACACGGCCCAGACUCCUAGGGGAGGCAGCAGGGGGGAAUAGUGCGCAAGGGGGGCAACCGGAUGCAGCCAUGCCGCGUGAAUGAAGAAGGCCUUCGGGUUGUAAAGUUCUUUCGGUAGGGAGACGUUACCUGAAGAAGAAGCACCGGCUAACUCCGUGCCAGCAGCCGCGGUAAUAC
rnacentral:rRNA from 1 species